AGUGCUUGAGAAAGACAUCAUUUCCGCAUCUCCACUUCUUUCCAACCCACAGAAACAUGGCGGUACAACAUAGCGGACUCUGCGAACAAGGACCCACUCCCUGUGUAGAUAUAAACGGCUCAUUCAAAGGCAAAUGCUUGGCAGAGUGGAGACGCUGCCAAGGAGUUACUCUGUGGGUGUCACGUGCUGUGCUGCUGGACAAAAAUCCUUAAAGACUGAUACCCCCACCCUCCACCGCUGGAGCAGUGCCAGCAGAGCAAGAAGGAUCACCAGGGUUCAAAGAGGCUGAUACAGUUGAUUAGUGGAUGGUUUUGUUUCUUGUUUGCCUUCUUUGAUGGAGAAGCAUUGUCUAGUGUAAGUACAUAUACUCUAAAUUGUUCACACUGGAUGGUUUGCAUUGUUUAAGUUCAGUCUCACUUUGUUUUCUUGGGCCAUGGAGGAUUUUUAAGGCAAAUUAUUCUUAAAAUCUUUGUUCACACAAGUUUUCUGGCCUCUUGGUGAUGGGCUGUGAUGUAUGAG